rnacentral:rRNA from 1 species
UACGUAGGGUCCGAGCGUUGUCCGGAAUUACUGGGCGUAAAGAGCUCGUAGGUGGUUUGUCGCGUUGUUCGUGAAAACUCACAGCUUAACUGUGGGCGUGCGGGCGAUACGGGCAGACUAGAGUACUGCAGGGGAGACUGGAAUUCCUGGUGUAGCGGUGGAAUGCGCAGAUAUCAGGGAGGAACACCGGUGGCGAAGGCGGGUCUCUGGGCAGUAACUGACGCUGGAGGAGCGAAAGCCGUGGGGAGCGAACAGG